GUGCUUGUUUUGGGCAGCAUAUAUACCAAAAUCGUAACAACCCUGAGAAGAUUAGCAUGGUCAUGGUACAAGGAUAACACGCAAAUCUGUGAAGCAUUCCAUAAUUUU